UACGUAGGUAGCAAGCGUCGUCCGGAAUUACUGGGCGUAAAGCGUGCGCAGGCGGUUGUGUAAGACAGGUGUGAAAUCCCCGGGCUUAACCUGGGAACUGCGCUUGUGACUGCACGGCUAGCGUACGGCAGAGGGGGGUGGAAUUCCACGUGUAGCAGUGAAACGCGUAGAUAUGUGGAGGAACACCGAUGGCGAAGGCAGCCUCCUGGGCCGAUACUGACGCCCAUGCACGAAAGCGUGGGGAGCAAACAGG
rnacentral:misc_RNA from 1 species